CAUGCCGCGUGUAUGAAGAAGGCCUUCGGGUUGUAAAGUACUUUCAGCGGGGAGGAAGGGAGUAAAGUUAAUACCUUUGCUCAUUGACGUUACCCGCAGAAGAAGCACCGGCUAACUCCGUGCCAGCAACGUCGGUGACUGAGCGGGCUGGCAAGGCGCAUA
rnacentral:rRNA from 1 species